GACCCUACACAAAAAAGAAACGGCGCCCCCUCCCAUGGCCAUUCUCUGAAAAAGAUGAGACCCCCCUCUCUCUCGAUAGCAACGGCGCCCAUUUCUAAAAAGAGAAAAAAAACACAAGAAAUCUCCCUCUCUCUGAACAAAAACAAAUGAACACCCUCCCCUUCUUCUUCUCCAAUUCCCUUCUUCUACACCCAUUUAGCAGCUCCAUCUUCUCUAAAAAAAACGAACAACCCAUGAAACUUCACUCAAGAUUCGAACAGAAAAGAGGGAGAUAAGCUAGGAGUUUUGGUUUUUAGAUAUAAAAAUACCAAUAAAUCACAGAGAACUUGCAAAAAGAAAAAUUAUAGCUGCAUUUUUUUUGGUUAUUGCUGCGUUCUUCUUGUUGAAUCUGCUUCUGCUGGUUUCCGGUUUUCUCCCUUUUGUUAUCAUGGGUUGAGGUGCCCGAGCAGCAGAGUGAGGGUUCCCAGCAUUUUCGGAGCUUAUCGGAGACUAGAAGAUGGUGAAGACACGUGCUACCGAGCAGGAUGGACGACCACGGCAUGAGGGCAUCAAACUCAUCCCACAUCUUUCUAAGACUUGAGAAGUAGUCAGUUACAGUCAUAAUUCAUUGGGUACAAAGGAUGAUUGUGAUCGAUGGUAGGAAAAGUAGCAGUUCCAGCAGGGAAAUUUGUAGUAGUUGAGGUCGCGCCAACGAGUUCAGCUUCAAUUGCCAUUGUUGAUCUAUACAUAGCUUCAAAGUAAGAGGCUUACAAACCCUAGCUUCAACCAAAUGUUACUCUAGCUCAAUUCAGCUCUCAAUUGUAGAAUUGAAGUAAUAGAGAAGACUCGAUUUGCUCGCAAUUUGCUUAGAUUUCAAUGGGUGGCUCGGAUACCAUGUUAGCUGCCAUGGAAAUGGGAUCUAAGAUAAGAAGAAGAAGAAGAAGAAGAAGAAGAGUCUAGAAGAAAAGAGGGAAUCAGAGAAAGGCUCGAUACAUUUCUGAAUGAAAAAGAAAAACAAAUGUACACGUGUCCACUAUUUAUAACAAACUAAAUCACUUCCUUAACUCUAAUUAACUCACAAAAUAUGGUUUAGCAUUAUAUUAUAAUUAAACUAUGGUCAACUAUGCUGAUUGACAAACUUCAACUAGUUUUGAGUAAUUGUGUUUAUUGGUCAGU